AGGGUCGAGCGCUGGUUGUGUCAGGCGGCCUCCAAAGUCGCCCUGCGAGAGUUCGAAUCUCUCCGGCCCUG
rnacentral:tRNA from 1 species